AGAUGGAGGGGGAGAAUUAAGGAGAAAGAAAGAGAUAUGGAAAGAUACGUACGUCGACCCGUCAUUGUUUUUUCAUUGUUUUUCUACACCCUUUGUUUCCUU
rnacentral:ribozyme from 11 species